rnacentral:lncRNA from 1 species
UGGGAUAAAAAUAAUGACUAAAGUCAAAUUCUACUCUUUAAUGAAAUUUUGUGAUGUUAACUCUAUAUGAUUUAUACAAUAUGGAAAAUGUAGAUUUGGGAUCAUAAACAACAAUAGAAUAGAUGAAUAGUAUGUAUCAAUCAAACAAGGAGAGUUGGAAUCACAAAAUCAAUCCUUCCAGAUCUCUCUUUAGUACAUACAUACAUAAUACAUAAAUACAAUAGUGAUAAAACUAAAAUUAAAAAAAAAAUCUGAAGAUGAGAAGACAAUAUGAUCAUAUGACAAAUUAAGGGGAAUGAUCAGAAACAAGCAUCCAAUACACAGCAGCAACACAAGGCAGCACAGCAUCCUUUCCAAAAUCCAUCACCUCUCGAUUUAGUUUCUACACGUCCAUCAGCACCAGCAGGAGGAUCGGCACCGUCUUUCGUGGGGUAACCAGCAGGCGGCGGUGCUGCAUAAGGGCUUGAAGUUGCAGGAUACGAGACUGCGACUGCAAAUUCAAUCAAAAUACAAAUUAAUCUUAAAUUUUCCAAUCAAAAUUUAAAUCAAUCAAUUCAACAAUAUGCUAAUUAACACACACGUACCUCCUUGCGGUUGAUUUUGAUCAUACUGAUUCAUAUUGAUAAUAAUUAUAAGCUAAUUGAUACGUACUACUUAAACUAUAAUCAGAUAGCUAAUAAUAUCCUAAAGAGAGAGAUUAAGUUAUGUCGAUAUUGAAAGUAUGAAGGUUAUAUGGGGAAUAUAUAUAGACAUAGCAAGAAAUAUAUAUAUAUAUAGAGAGAGAGAGAGAGAAGUAGGUGAGACUAUGUUGGAGUGGUUCUGGGCCUCUGGCCUUGCCUUGGCGAAGCUUACCGAGGGAGGACGGCAUAAGCGCGUAAACCGCAUAAAAUAAUAAUAAUAUAAAAAAAAAUAUACCAGCAAAAGAAUCCAAAUACGAAACCAACA